UACGUAGGUGGCAAGCGUUGUCCGGAUUUACUGGGCGUAAAAGGGGCGUGCAGGCGGUCUGUUAAGUGCAGGGUGAAAGCUCCCGGCUCAACUGGGAGAGGUCCUUGCAUACUGGCGGACUUGAGGGGGGGUAGAGGAAAGUGGAAUUCCCGGUGUAGUGGUGAUAUGCGUAGAUAUCGGGAGGAACACCGGUGGUGUAGACGGCUUUCUGGACCGUAACUGACGCUGAAACACGAAAGCGUGGGUAGCAAACAGG
rnacentral:rRNA from 1 species